rnacentral:lncRNA from 1 species
GAUGACCCCAGCAGAGAGAUCAGCACGCCGGAGCAACACAGCACAGCGGUCUCCUGGGUAACCGUGGUAACAGAGAAGGUCAGCUCCGUUCUGUCGUCCAAUGAGACGCAGAGCCUGAACAAACUCCUGCUCUUCUACGUGAUGCUUGCGAUUCUUCUCCUGUUGUCGUCUGGUUACAUCGGUUUGCGGAUCAUGGCGCUGGAGCAGAAGCUGAGCAUUCUGGGAUCGAUGCCGGAGUUCACAAUGCAGACAGAGUGAGUUCACACAUUCAUCAU